rnacentral:rRNA from 1 species
GACGAACGCUGGCGGCGUGCUUAACACAUGCAAGUCGAACGGUGAGGCCCUGCUUGCGGGGGGGGUUAGUGGCGAACGGGUGAGUAAAACGUGAGUAACCUGCCCUCUUCUCUGGGAUAAGACUUGGAAACAGGGGCUAAUACUGGAUAUUGGUUCCUCCGCUGCGGGGGGGGGGUGGGAAGGUUUUGGCGGUUGGGGAUGGGCUCGCGGCCUAUCAGCUUGUUGGUGGGGUAGUGGCUUACCAAGGCUUUGACGGGUAGCCGGCCUGAGAGGGUGACCGGCAACAUUGGGCCUGAGAUACGCCCAAGACUCCAACGGGGGGCAGCGGUGGGGAAUAUUGAACAUGGGGCGGAGGCCUGUGGAGGGAACGCGGGGGGCGGGUGAAGGGCCUCCGGGUGGUAAACGGUUUUCGCCGGGGACGAGGCGUGAGUGACGGUAAUGGGUAAAGAAGCGCCGGCUAACUACGUG